UACAGGGGGUGCAAACGUUGCUCGGAAUCAUUGGGCGUAAAGCGCACGUAGGCGGUUCGUUAUGUCGGAUGUGAAAGCCCUUGGCUUAACCGAGGAAGUGCAUCCGAAACUGGCGAGCUAGAGUACGAAAGAGGAUCGCGGAAUUCCCGGUGUAGAGGUGAAAUUCGUAGAUAUUAGGAAGAACACCGGUGGCGAAGGCGGCCAUCUGGCUCGGUACUGACGCUCAGGCGCGAAAGCGUGGGGAGCAAACAGGG
rnacentral:rRNA from 1 species